UGUAUCAGUUGCCAAAGCCUGAUGUCAUCUAUUUUGCUCUUGCUUCACUAGAAGAAACGCCGGUGCAGCAUUGUGCCGGAACCUGUCCUCUCUAGAGAGAUCCUGACGGUUCCACUCAUGCAAAGUGAAGAUCAAAGGAACCAAAGGAGAGCAACAGCCAAGCUUUAUCAUCAAUAACCCUUCACUCUUUACCCUAUAGUGUUAGUACAGACACUGAAAAACGCUCACUGAUCAAUGUCCCUGUGAUGGAUGACACAUUCAUUGACCAAAUACGAAUUGAGAAGCUUCUCGGAGCCAAAUCAGAAGAUAGGCACUAGAGGGUACAGAGACAACACAGUCACUGCCCCUGGCCUCAGGGUGAGAGCAAAGCAGCCACAUAAUUGCCAUACGAUGUGGCUCCGGACGCGCAGGCUUAGCGGCCAUGGCUCACGGGCCCAGCCACUCC